rnacentral:rRNA from 1 species
CGGCGGACGGGUGAGUAACGCGUGGACAACCUGCCCUAUGCAGGGGGAUAACAUCCGGAAACGGGUGCUAAUACCGCAUAAGCGCACAGUACCGCAUGGUACGGUGUGAAAAGCUGAGGCGGCAUAGGAUGGGUCCGCGUUGGAUUAGGCAGUUGGCGGGGUAACGGCCCACCAAACCAACGAUCCAUAGCCGGCCUGAGAGGGUGGACGGCCACAUUGGGACUGAGACACGGCCCAGACUCCUACGGAAGGCAGCAG